rnacentral:rRNA from 1 species
GAUGAACGCUGGCGGCGUGCCUAAUACAUGCAAGUCGAGCGAACAGACGAGGAGCUUGCUCCUCUGACGUUAGCGGCGGACGGGGGAGUAACACGUGGAUAACCUACCUAUAAGACUGGGAUAACUUCGGGAAACCGGAGGUAAAACCGGGUAAUAUAUUGAACCGCAUGGUUCAAUAGGGAAAGACGGGUUUGCUGUCAAUUAUAGAUGGAUCCGCGCCGCAUUAGCUAGUUGGUAAGGUAACGGCUUACCAAGGCAACGAUGCGUAGCCGACCUGAGAGGGUGAUCGGCCACACUGGAACUGAGACACGGUCCAGACUCCUACGGGAGGCAGCAGUAGGGAAUCUUCCGCAAUGGGCGAAAGCUUGACGGAGCAACGCCGCGUGAGUGAUGAAGGUCUUCGGAUCGUAAAACUCUGUUAUUAGGGAAGAACAAAUGUGUAAGUAACUAUGCACGUCUUGACGGUACCUAAUCAGAAAGCCACGGCUAACUACGUG